rnacentral:rRNA from 1 species
UGGGGAAUUUUGGACAAUGGGCGCAAGCCUGAUCCAGCCAUGCCGCGUGCAGGAUGAAGGCCUUCGGGUUGUAAACUGCUUUUGUACGGAACGAAAAGACUCCUUCUAAUAAAGGGGGUCCAUGACGGUACCGUAAGAAUAAGCACCGGCUAACUACGUGCCAGCAGCCGCGGUAAUACGUAGGGUGCGAGCGGUAAUCGGAAUUACUGGGCGUAAAGCGUGCGCAGGCGGUUAUAUAAGACAGAGGUGAAAUCCCCUGGCUCAACCUGGGAACUGCCUUUGUGACUGCAUAGCUAGAGUACGGUAGAGGGGGAUGGAGUUCCGCGUGUAGCAGUGAAAUGCGUAGAUAUGCGGAGGAACACCGAUGGCGAAGGCAAUCCCCUGGACCUGUACUGACGCUCAUGCACGAAAGCGUGGGGAGCAAACA